CGCUGCUCCAUACUCUGAGCAUGGGGAAAGGGCCAACUUAGCUCCUGCCCCCGCAGAGCUUCCAGUCUGAGUCGCUGGAACUGGGAAGAGAACAGAGGACUCCAGGAGGUUGGGGUUGACCCUGAGCGGAGAGGAAGGACGAAAGGUAAUCGGUAGGUGCAGAGACGCUGAUUUGUACACAUAUCAGAGAAGCAGAGGCCCAACCAUAAAAGAAACUGCCAUCCUGACACAAAUGACCCUGUGGCCCACUGCUUCCUAUGCCUCCUCUUCUGGUGACAGGCACUGCACCCAGCCAUGCCCAGAGCCAGUUUCCCGUGGCAAUAACAGAUGUCCAUCAAAGGGAGAGCGUGUGACUCAAACAAGGCCAAUCAGCCGCCUUCCCUGGGACUGAUUCAGAGGCCCAAGGAGACAAAGGUCUCAUUUGACUGGAAUUUCUAACUGGGGCUGUUGGUGGCUGCAUCCCAAUGGGGAGAAAUGAGGCCCGGAUGAUGAAACUAAGGAUCCCAGAGGCUGAGUGACUUCCCCGGAGUCCCUCGGUGGGUAAGUGGAGGAGGUGAGUCUGACAGCCAGGCCCAGGUGCUCUGAUGACAGGCCUGCUGCUAUUUUGUCCCCUUACCCCACCCUUGCCUGGAAGAUCUGGCCUCACAGGGCAUGCCAGAAACAGCUGGGCUGGGUUCCUCUGCUCAGACCCCCUGUUCAUGUGUCUUCUCAGAAAGGCCUUUCUAAAAGCACCCUGGUGGUGGAAGCAGUACGCUUUAGUCUCAUUGUAACCAGUGAGAAAUGGGAAAUGGUGAUGACGGCCUCUGCCCUGCCCUGCCCUGCCCUCCCUCGAGAUGUG